AUGAGGCAUAAAAACACUAAUGCGAUUAAAUCAGUGUUAUUGCUUAUAGCACAUCCAAGACUCUGACACAAAACAGUGCCACAUCCUACCACCAUGUAUUAUAUGGAAUAUAUCUCAUAUUUUGUGUUGAUUUUUAAGAAAACAAAUGGUGUCAUGUAUU